UUUUCAGUAAUACAUAAAUUUCUGUCGUUAAAAUCUAAAACAUUGUUACAUACACGAGCGAAUCGUACAAAUUGAUAUAUAUAAACACCGUGAUAUGGAUAAUUAACGAUAGGAAAUGAGAAAUCAUCUCUUCUAUCAUAAAUUUUAGAGGAACACAUACAUUACGAAAAUCAAAUAAAUAGUAACCAGAUGGUAUGUCAAAUCGACAUAAUGUUUUGCUAAAGAAAUUAAAAAGUCUGAACAAAGUUUCCAACUGACUAUUUGACCUUCGUUCAUAGCGAUGUUUUUCCUUUGAAUAACGUAACAAUCUUAACUCAAUUACCACAUAGCAAAAACACAAAAUGUAACUCAUCAUAGAUGCAAGAUUAAAAUAAAUUUUGUAUUUACGCCAGACGCGCGUUUCGUCUACAACAGACUCAUCAGUGACGCUCAAAUUCAAAAAAGUAAAAAAGGCCCAAAAAGUGCGAAGUUGAAAAGCACACCUUAUUGAAUUCAAUAGAGUGAACCCUUUUC
rnacentral:lncRNA from 1 species